UACGUAGGGGCCGAGCGUUGUCCGGAGUUAUUGGGCGUAAAGCGCGCGCAGGCGGCCUCGCGCGCCCGACGUGAAAGCCCCCGGCUUAACCGGGGAGGGUCGUUGGGGACGGCGGGGCUUGAGGGCGGGAGAGGUCGGUGGAAUUCCCGGUGUAGUGAUGAAAUGCGUAGAGAUCGGGAGGAACACCUGUGGCGAAGGCGGCCGACUGGGCCGACCCUGACGCUGAGGCGCGAAGGCGUGGGGAGCGAACGGG
rnacentral:rRNA from 1 species